rnacentral:rRNA from 1 species
CACGGCGCACGGGUGCGUAACACGUGGGCAAUCUGCCCUCCGAUGGGGAAUAACCCCGCGAAAGCGGGGCUAAUUCCGCAUAAUAUUCCGAGGACUUCGGUUCUUGGACUCAAAGCAGCAAUGCGUCGGAGGAGGAGCCCGCGCCCGAUUAGCUAGUUGGUGAGGUCAUGGCUCACCAAGGCAAUGAUCGGUAGCUGGUCUGAGAGGAUAAUCAGCCACACUGGAACUGAGACACGGUCCAGACUCCUACGGGAGGCAGCAGUGGGGAAUCUUGCACAAUGGGCGAAAGCCUGAUGCAGCGACGCCGCGUGGGGGAUGAAGCUUUUCGGAGUGUAAACCCCUUUCGACCGGGACGAAUGCCCGCAAGGGACUGACGGUACCGGUAUAAGAAGCCCCGGCUAACUACGUGCCAGCAGCCGCGGUAAGACGUAGGGGGCCAGCGUUGUUCGGAAUUACUGGGUGUAAAGGGUUCGUAGGCGGUGCGGCAAGUUGGGAGUGAAAUCUCUGGGCUUAACCCAGAGGCUGCUUCCAA